GGAUGUGAGGGCGAUCUGGCUGCGACAUCUGUCACCCCAUUGAUCGCCAGGGUUGAUUCGGCUGAUCUGGCUGGCUAGGCGGAUGUCCCCUUCCUCCCUCACCGCUCCAUGUGUGUCCCUCCCGAAGCUGCGCGCUCGGUUGAAGAGGACGGCCUUCCCCGAAUAGAGACGGACCGGUCUUCGGUCGAGGGUAUACGAGUAGCUGCGCUCCCCUGCUAGAACCUCCAAACAAGCUCUCAAAAAGCAAGAUUAUAUUAUUCAUAUUGCGUAUUCAUGCCCUCCCUGAAGACAAAAAGAUCCUACAGAUUAUCUUGGAUAUUUUAUG
ensembl:misc_RNA 7SK 7SK RNA